UAGGGAAUCUUCCACAAUGGACGCAAGUCUGAUGGAGCAACGCCGCGUGAGUGAAGAAGGUUUUCGGACCGUAAAGCUCUGUUGUUGGUGAAGAAGGAUAGAGGUAGUAACUGGCCUUUAUUUGACGGCAAUCAACCAGAAAGUCACGGCUAACUACGUGCCAGCAGCCGCGGUAAUACGUAGGUGGCAAGCGUUGUCCGGAUUUAUUGGGCGUAAAGCGAGCGCAGGCGGAAGAAUAAGUCUGAUGUGAAAGCCCUCGGCUUAACCGAGGAAUUGCAUCGGAAACUGUUUUUCUUGAGUGCAGAAGAGGAGAGUAGAACUCCAUGUGUAGCGGUGGAAUGCGUAGAUAUAUGGAAGAAUACCAGUGGCGAAGGCGGCUCUCUGGUCUGCAACUGACGCUGAGGCUCGAAAGCAUGGGUAGCGAACAGGAUUAGAUACCCUGGUAGUCCAUGCCGUAAACGAUGAGUGCUAAGUGUUGGGAGGCUUCCGCCUCUCAGUGCUGCAGCUAACGCAUUAAGCACUCCGCCUGGGGGAGUACGACCGCAAGGUUGAAAC
rnacentral:rRNA from 1 species